rnacentral:lncRNA from 1 species
AGUCCCGCCAAGAGCAGAUGUGUGGUUCUGCCCCGGCGGGCCGGGCCGGGCCGGUCUUACCCCACGGGAAGCGCAGCGAUACCUGUAGAGUUUGUGUUUUGUCUCCGACAGCAAAUCACUGCAACAAAUCUGCAGCUGAAGGACAGCCAACAGCAUGUAGAUAGCAUUAAUGUCAGAGACACGUACAAGGUGCAGGUCUAAGGCCCAAAAAAUUAGGACUGUGCAGCAAAAAGAAGCAUGACCAUAGUGAAGGGCGCGGGGGGUGUGUAUGUGUGUGUUUGUUUUGUAUUAAUACUGGAAAGGAACACUACUCAACUGUAUUUGCUGUAUGAAAUUUUACUGUGUGUAAAAUGACAGUGAUGGGAGUCUUCACAAGGAUGCAUUUCAAUUAUCCAUCAUUAGUCCCUUUUGGCCUGUGACAUACUUAGAAAAGCAACAGAGUGCAGGAAAACAAAUGAAUACAAAUUUAAUUAUAAAAUCAACCCUUGCUGCUUCAGGGUCAGAAAAUGUAAACAUUCCUUUUAUGUUGAAACAGUGAUCUUAGCCCCAUGCAUUAAUAAAUCUCUGUGAAAACGCAAAGUAAAUAGAACUUACUUUCUCCUUCCAAGUUUCCGAUGCAAUUUACUGAAACGACAGCAAGAUCUAGGUAUCCGAAUUCUACAGUCUUCUAGAACUGAAAAUGGCCUGCCAGGAU